GGCUGCAGCUCCAGAGUCAGCUUGAAUUGAAGGCACCUGACCUGUGUAUAAGUCCCUGCAGGAGCAGGACAACCUGAAGUGUCUGUGCCUGUGGAUAAGGCUUUGUUGGAGCAGCAGCAUCUGUGGCCAUGGAUAUGUCCAUUGCACAGCAGGGAACACCUGCACUGUGACCAAGGAGGAAGGAUGAGCACUCUCACCCUUGGAGAGGACAUCCUACAGUAUCAAUAUGCCUGAGCAGCAGCAGCAGGACAGAAGGAGGCAGGAGACAUGACAGAACUGCAGAUGUGACUGGCAGAAGACUGGUGUCAAAUGGUGCCAACAUGACCCACCCCAAAUGACUGUAUUCCCUAUUUUUGAUUCAGCGGCAGGGCUGGUAACGCUGCCACUGUUAGGAGCUAAUUGUGCUCACAGGAGUUGCCCUGUUUGUUCCUGGAAAGCCCUGGAGCAGUGGCACUGCUUCUGCAGCCCCUGCAUUACACGAGGGCAGCUGUAAGGAGCCUGCAAUGCACCUGCACUGCAGCACCAGCACUGAGCUGGGCAGUCAGCGCCUGUGCUCAGGGUAUGGCUGUCCUUGGCAACUCACAGCUGGCACAGCAAAGCCAGCUGGAAUUCAUCUUUCAGCUUAGAUCUUUACAAAAUAUGAAUUGAUACCUUUUUAAAAAAUCUGCUACAUUGCAUAUGCUGCCUUCUCUUCAGCCAUUCCUUUUUUAAAUCUGUCUGAACAAAGUUUACACAGAGUUUACACUCAAGUUUAUGCAGGACAAAUUUUUUUAUAAGACCAUAGUAUUUUUAGACUGUGACACUAGAACUUUCCAGAUGUUGAGCAAUCACACUGCAAUUUUUCUAGUAAUACUCACUCGGAACAGAAAUUAUGCCUAGGAGAGACUGAUGCCAAGUACCACUCCUUUUCCUUGUGAAAAGUGAUGAGAUGUUUUGUUAAUAGAUGUUUCUCAGCUUUCCACAUCUAUUGUGGUGAUAAUUUGUGUUGUAAUUGCAAUAAGUGUAUCGUGUGCUCAAAAUACUAUAGCAGAUGCAGCUACUAUCCCAAUGCAGCAAACAAAGGAUUGCCUGUAUUCAUUUGCAGUUUCUUAAUCAAUUGAUUAAGAAUCUGAUUUUCCAUCAAGCUCUCUGUUGCAAGGCCACAAAGGCUGCUUUUCUUAGCGUGCAGUGUGUGUUACAUUAGCUCACAGACUGUUUUCCAGUGCAACAAAAGCUGGA